AUGGGGAUGAGGCAAAGCCGGAUCCGGGCGUGUCCCCAUGGGGGGGUCCGGGCGGCCGUGACCCUGCUGGAGUCCGGGGGGGACCUCCAGCCCCCCGGGGGGUCCCUGCGCCUCCUCUGCCGCGCCUCUGGAUUUGAGUUUGGCGAAUUCGGGAUGUACUGGAUCCGCCAGAAACCCGGGAAGGCGCUGGAAUACGUCGCGAGCAUCUACACCGAUGGAUCCUACAUCGACUACGCGCCGUCCGUGCAGGGCCGGUUCACCCUCACCAGGGACAACGGGCAGAGCUCGGUGACGCUGAGCAUGAACAACCUCCAGGACGAGGAUUCCGGGGUUUAUUUCUGUGCUAAAAACGCCUUCAGUUACAUUGGUGCUGAUGAUGUUUCUCGUAUUGACCCCGGCCCAGCCCCGCCUGUCCCCGUGCCCCAGACCCUUCCCCACAGCCCAGCCCUGUCCCCGUUCCCGUCCCUGCCCCCCUGA